UCUGUCUCUCCUCAGAACGCUGCUGGUGAACGCCGGCGCUGUGCUGAACUUCAGACUGAGGAGGAGAGACACGGAGGGCUUCGGCGAGGGGGCGAGGGAGCCCACCACCGGUGACAAUAUCAGAGAGUUCUUGCUGAGCCUUAGGUAUUUCCGAAUCUUCAUUGCCUUGUGGAAUGUCUUCAUGAUGUUCUGCAUGAUUGUGUUAUUUGGAUCUUGAAAGUCAUCCACAAACAUGGCUGGUAACUUGGAAGAGACUUUUGGCUGCAAACAUAACUUUUCUAUCAAGUAAAAGAUUAUAAUGCUUUCCAAACACAGCCCUGGGAUUGUGACAGUUCUUCAGCACGAGCUCCGAGGGGCAGCACAGCACACAGCCCCCCCAGCCAGCUGUGUAAGGCUGUGGGUGUGUGGGGCUGCGUGCUGCAGGGCAGGGAGCCUUCCAGCCCCUGAGCCAAAGGCCUCAAAGUAAAAUUAAUUCAACUUCACCGGGAGGAAAAAAACAACCCACCCACCUUUACAGUGGGUUGCUCAGCAUUCUGUGCCCGAUGUGCAGCGGAUUGCAGCUGACUGACAGCCACAGCCGUGCAGCUCUGCCUCAUCGCUCACCCCACGUUCUGCUGCGUCUGCCGUCACCGCGCUGUGGGCCACAUGGAAGUCACACCUCAUUACUGUGACGCGGAGUGAAGAAUUGAUGUAACUUGGAAAAAAAAAAAAGGCAUUUUUCCCUCACAAUUCCAUUUUUCUUUGGAAAUGUAGAAAUAGGCAUCUCAAAAAAGGGUCCUCACUUCCUCACUUUUUCCCCCAACAAAUUCAUUUUUAGAUACAAAUUUGAAGAUAAGGGGUUUUUUCCUCAGCAAUCCGUAAGGGACUUUGAACAGGAAAACAUCUGUGAUGCCGAGGAGGUUUUGGGAUCAUUUUGGAUUCGGUUGAAUAAAAAAGUUCUAUUUAAG
rnacentral:lncRNA from 1 species